ensembl:snoRNA SNORA71 Small nucleolar RNA SNORA71
CCCUACAUUCGAAAGUGAUCGUGGGCUGUCCGUGCAUUAGUCAUUGAUAGUGCAGGGAGAGGAAUUGCUGAAAGCAUUUUCCCCAUGUUUGGAGGGUUCACGCCUAUCCCUUCUGAACUCGGGAGCUGUCACACA